UUUCCUCACACUUCAUCCCUAAGAGCCCCAGAUUCUAAUUACUCACAAAAUGUCCUUCAGACCUAAAAAUAACUGUGUAUUUUAAGCGUGUGCAUAUGUGUAUAUAUAUAGAGAUAAAUGAUUGAGGAAUAUUUCCUCUCUCAAUAAUUACACCUCUGAUUUUGGCAUUAAUAUUUAACUCAUACCUAAUUAAGCAGAGAGAUCUGAAGAGCACA